ACUAGACUUGAAAUCAAGUCUGUAAUGAGUGGUUUUAAUCGCGUCCGCCGCGCGCGACUGCCAAGCUCUGUGCCGGGGG